rnacentral:rRNA from 1 species
GACGAACGCUGGCGGCGUGCUUAACACAUGCAAGUCGAACGGAAAGGCUCCAUCUUGCUGGAGUCCUCGAGUGGCGAACGGGUGAGUAACACGUGGGUAAUCUGCCCUGCACUCUGGGAUAAGCCUGGGAAACUGGGUCUAAUACUGGAUAUGACCUUUCUCCUUAUGGGGUUUGGUGGAAAGUUUUUCGGUGUCGGCUGAGCCCGCGGCCUCUCAGCUUGUUGGUGGGGUGAUGGCCUACCAAGGCGACGACGGGUAGCCGGCCUGAGAGGGUGAUCGGCCACAUUGGGACUGAGAUACGGCCCAGACUCCUACGGGAGGCAGCAGUGGGGAAUAUUGCACAAUGGGCGGAAGCCUGAUGCAGCGACGACGCGUGAGGGAUGACGGCCUUCGGGUUGUAAACCUCCUUCAGCAGGGACGAAGCGUAAGUGACGGUACCUGCAGAAGAAGCACCGGCUAACUAUGUG